rnacentral:rRNA from 1 species
CCCUUAGAUGUUCUGGGCCGCACGCGCGCUACACUGACGAUGUCAGAGAGUGUCUCCUUCACCGAGAGGUGUGGGUAAUCUUUUAAACAUCGUCGUGCUGGGGAUAGAUCAUUGCAAUUUUUGAUCUUAAACGAGGAAUUCCUAGUAAGCGCGAGUCAUCAGCUCGCGCUGAUUACGUCCCUGCCCUUUGUACACACCGCCCGUCGCUCCUACCGAUUGAAUGUUCCGGUGAGCUCUUCGGACUGCGCGGUCUGCAGUUUCUGCGUUCCGUGCGGAAAGUUGCGCAAACCUUAACAUUUAGAGGAAGGAGAAGUCGUAACA